CUCUCGUGCCUGUUGCAGUAGUGAGCUUCUCCAAUCUAUUCCACAGCCAAAUGACAGAUUGUUUACCAAAUAAAUACCUGCAGGAGAUUGCCCUGUUGAUGAUGCCCAAAGCAGGCUGUAAGCAGUGAAGGCUGUAAAGAGUUAACCCCACAAUUGGCUUGUUUUAAAAAGUGAGUCUGACCAAAGCCUAUGUGACUCGUAGGGGCAUUUUGUCGGCAUGAGGAUUAAAGGAGCUACCCCACCAACAGCCACAGCAGAGGCCAGAGAAAUGCUCUGCGAAGCGAUGUAACACACAGCCGAGCGCGCCCGGGCCUGCUCCUGCGCCCUAGAGCCGCGGCCACGCUCCACCCGACCCACCUCUGCCCAAGGACCAACACCACCCACAGGGAGAGCCCGGGAGCUGCCGCUGUCUUGAGGAGGAGAGAGAAUUGAAGCGGGGUGGUGGAC
rnacentral:lncRNA from 1 species